rnacentral:rRNA from 1 species
ACACGUGUCGGUCGAUCUUCUUAGAGGGACAAGCGGCGUUUAGCCGCACGAGACAGAGCAAUAACAGGUCUGUGAUGCCCUUAGAUGUCCGGGGCCGCACGCGCGCUACACUGAAGGAAUCAGCGUGUGAUUGCCCCUGUCCGGUAGGACUGGGUAACCCGUUGAACCUCCUUCGUGAUAGGGAUAGGGGCUUGUAAUUAUUCCCCUUGAACGAGGAAUUCCCAGUAA